rnacentral:sRNA from 1 species
CCCUGUCGGGUUGUGUAUUUAUUGGCUGAUGUUAAUGUCAGAACCUGCUUCUCUAGAUAGAGAGGCCUGUCAAAACCCCGCCGGAUCGGCGGGGUUUUGCUUUUGU